ensembl:lncRNA
UUCUUAAGUGGAUCUUUUGAUUUUAGUUUAAAAAAAAAAAGAGAAAUCCUGAAUGCAAGUUGAAACUUGAAGUUAACACGUUCCUGCCAACAACUCCUGGGCGUUUGGAGGAAUGUUCCGAGAGUUCCGCCUUCCUCUCACAGCCCAGGGAGCACCCUGUUUUCAUCCCGCUGCCCUGCACCCAAAAAACCAACAGCAUCUGUACCGGCAAACUCGGCUAUAGUGUCACUUUGGGGCCUCGCUUCUAUGCAAGUGUUUCCCAACGUUCUCAGGAGGAUAAUUCUCCCAGAGCCCCCCCCACCACACUCUUUAGUACCUGCAUGGAGCACUGUAUUAGCAUACACAUAACACCUACAUAUUAAUGAAAAAUACUAAUAAAACAGGAACAAAAAGAAGAGCAGCACAGUGGAUUCUUUUGUUUCUGACCAAAUCCAAAAUGUGACCUUCACCCAUGUGAGAGGACUCCAGCAGGUUGAUGAUUAACUGUGGAAUUAACAACAUGCCUCAUUCAGGAACACAGUGUCAUGCAGGUCAAGGACCAGUUCAAAAUAAAAAGGAUUUGGCACCUUUAAAAUCUUUUUGCAAUAUAUACACAAAGGAUUUUUAAGAGGCACGACACUGUGCAUUUCUUUUACAGUAAGAACGUGCAGUUGUGGACUGUUUAUGCUUACUUUGAGCACCAGAAAUAUAUACUCCAUCUUUUAUUUCAAUGUUUUAUAUUUUAAAAUAAUAUCUUGCGUCCAUUAUUCUUACCUGUAAGUGUAUCCUAAAAUAUCUCCAUCUGACAUGUUUCCACAGCUGGAAAUAUCUGCGGCGAUAAUUACAUCCACUAUACACAAUAAGUGCUACAUAUUUAUUUAAUUAAACAGAUCGUCUAUCAUUAAGACACUAUUUCAGAAUUUGUUUGAAUUAUUAAAGAAAAUAUUAGCCUAACAAGUCGCGCCGACAGAGCGCAGCUCUCCAGCUCUCUGCGGUGAAAUCCCCAAUCCUCAAACACACACAGUCUUUUUCUCAUGAUCUCAUUUCCAAGUUAAGCAGACUCUGUUAGUCCCUCGUCAACACCACAGGUUUGCUUGCCUUUACUAAUGGGUCUUAUACUGAUAGUUAUGCUCUUGCGUAAAUAUGCAGUCAAA